GACGAACGCUGGCGGCGUGCUUAACACAUGCAAGUCGAACGGAAAGGCCCUGCUUUUGUGGGGUGCUCGAGUGGCGAACGGGUGAGUAACACGUGAGUAACCUGCCCUUGACUUUGGGAUAACUUCAGGAAACUGGGGCUAAUACCGGAUAGGAGCUCCUGCUGCAUGGUGGGGGUUGGAAAGUUUCGGCGGUUGGGGAUGGACUCGCGGCUUAUCAGCUUGUUGGUGGGGUAGUGGCUUACCAAGGCUUUGACGGGUAGCCGGCCUGAGAGGGUGACCGGCCACAUUGGGACUGAGGUACGGCCCAGACGCCUACGGGAGGCAGCAGGGGGGAAUAUUGCACAAUGGGCGGAAGCCUGAUGCAGCAACGCCGGGUGCGGGAUGACGGCCUUCGGGUUGUAAACCGCUUUCGCCUGUGACGAAGCGUGAGUGACGGUAAUGGGUAAAGAAGCACCGGCUAACUACGUG
rnacentral:rRNA from 1 species